rnacentral:rRNA from 1 species
CAGUCGCCGCGGUAAUACGUAGGGUGCGAGCGUUAAUCGGAAUUACUGGGCGUAAAGCGUGCGUAGGUGGUUUGUUAAGUUGGAUGUGAAAGCCCCGGGCUCAACCUGGGAACUGCAUCCAAAACUGGCAAGCUAGAGUACGGUAGAGGGUGGUGGAAUUUCCUGUGUAGCGGUGAAAUGCGUAGAUAUAGGAAGGAACACCAGUGGCGAAGGCGACCACCUGGACUGAUACUGACACUGAGGUGCGAAAGCGUGGGGAGCAAACAGGAUUAGAUACCCCUGUAGUCCCUGUCUCUUAUAC